GAGGCUGUUAUUCGUUGCCAGUGAUUGUUAACCAUGUUUUUGUUUUAUAACGUAAAUACUUGUUUUUCCGUACCUAUUGGGAGAAUGUAGGAAUUUCGGACGCGGGUUCAACUCCCGCCAGCUCCACCA
rnacentral:tRNA from 1 species